rnacentral:rRNA from 1 species
UACGAAGGGGGCUAGCGUUGUUCGGAAUUACUGGGCGUAAAGGGCGCGUAGGCGGUGUGUCAAGUCAGGCGUGAAAGCCCCGGGCUCAACCUGGGAACCGCGCUUGAGACUGGCACGCUCGAGUUCGGGAGAGGAUGGUGGAAUUCCCAGUGUAGAGGUGAAAUUCGUAGAUAUUGGGAAGAACACCGGAUGGCGAAGGCAGCCAUCUGGACCGACACUGACGCUGAGGCGCGGAAAGCGUGGGGAGCAAACAGG